AUGCCAGCCCCCUGGCGAAUAUGUGGUGAUAAAAAAUCCAGAACUCAGAUUGGAAAAGCUGAAAUGGACAAUAUGGAAGAGACAAGGGAAAAAGUGCAGAUGAAAAAAGAAAUCACGUUACUAAAUGGAGUUUCUUUAAUUGUAGGGAACAUGAUUGGCUCUGGGAUAUUUGUGUCACCCAGAGGUGUUUUAAUGUACAGUGCUUCCUAUGGACUCUCUCUAGUCAUCUGGGCGCUUGGUGGGAUGUUUUCGCUGUUUGGAGCUUUGUGUUAUGCUGAAUUGGGAGCAUCCAUUGUUAAAUCUGGAGGCAGUUAUGCCUAUAUCCUGGAAGCAUUUGGUGCCUUCGUGGCCUUCAUCAGACUCUGGUCUUCCUUGCUAAUUAUUGAACCAACAACUCAGGCAGUGAUAGCAAUCACGUUUGCUAACUAUAUUGUUCAACCAAUUUUUCCUCAUUGUGAGCCACCAUAUGAUGCAGUCAGGUUGAUUGCAGCUGCUUGUAUAUGUAAGUAA